UCCAUUGUGCCUGGUCUGACAUUGUCUCA
rnacentral:piRNA from 1 species